AAGUCAACACUGCAGAGAGUGUUUACUUAAUGUCUAAUUAGAAAAAAACAAAUCAAAACAAAUGAGUGCUGGCUAGUGGUUACGAGAACCUGAAUGGACAGGUGGUUAAAUGGUUUAUCGGUUUAUGUACGAUCAAUUAGGAUGUAUUGCACAUUUGGUAGCAAAAAACCUUUAGUACAUCGGAAAUAAAGGGAUAAAGCAGGAUGAAACAAGGGAAACUGUUUGAGAGAGUCAGACGGCAGGAUUCUGGUUGAGGAGGAGGAGGAGGAAAAAGGCUGAGAGAAACAGAGGGGAGCAGAGAGGCAGGCGUUUCCUUUUCUGGUAGUUACAGGCGCUGGAAGAACCAGCAGGAAUUUUUUUGUGCUGCAAAAGGGCUGAGAUAUAAACCAGACUGUAGAUGUUGAUAUAUGACGAGAGGGGAGACACCGCUGUUCAUGGACUAAACUUCAGCUACUGCUAAGUGAGAAAGUGAAGAUAAUCUUUUUGGAAUCAUGGACGAUGACUUUGACCGCCGCAUGGAGCUGAGGAGGCAAAGGAGGGAGCAGAUGCGCACUGAAACCGACAAGCCGGAUUGCACUAAUGAUGAUGAGGAAGAGGAAGCUCGGGAGCAAAGAAGACGAGCGAGAGAGGAGAGGAAGAAGGUGAUGAGGGAGUCAGAGGAGUCCGGAGAACCUGAAGUGAUCGACACCAACAGUGUGACGGAGUCCUCCACCGCAGGCGAGGAUGGUGAGGCUGCAGAUGACGACCAAGCUCUGCUGGAGCGCCUGGCCAAGAGGGAGGAGCGCCGGCAGAAGAGGAUGAAGGAGGCUAUGGAGAGACAGAAGGAGUUUGACCCCACAGUCAGCACCACCAACGGCACUGACAGCGCACUGGAGGAGCAGUCCUCCAUCAGCAGCAGCAGACAGCAACAUACAGAGGAUGAGGAGGAGAAACCAGCUGAAAAGGACGUGGCAGACACUGACAUGAACUCCUGGAGAAAAGAGGAAGAGGACAAUAAGGAAGAGAAGACGGAAUCUGUUGAGGAAUCAAGAACAACGAGCACAAGAAAUGAGGAGGUGAUUGAGGAGAAGGUAGCAGCAAAAGAAGAAGAAGUAGAGCAACCCAAUUUAGGGAAGAACGAUGCUGAAGAGGAAGCUGUUCCUGAUGCCGACAAAGAAGAAGAAGAAGAAAUAAAACUGAAAGAAGAGAAGGAAAGAAAAAGGAAAGAAGAAGAGGAAAGGCAGCAAAAUGAAAGGGAUGAAAAGCUGAGGAUAGAAGAGGAGGAAAGACAAAAAAGGGAAAUGGAGGAAAAGCUGAAGAGUGUGGAUGAAGAAAGACAGCUUAAGGAGGAGGAGGAAAAUAAGAAGAGGGAAGAGGAACGACAACAACAAAAAGAAAUGGAAGAGAGACUGAGAAAGGAUCAAGAAGAAAAACAGAAAAAGGAGAAAGAGGAGAAGAUGAAAAAAGAAGAGGAGGAAAAACAGAAAAAGGAGAUGGAGCAAAAGAAAAGAGAUGAAGAGAAAGAAAAACGCCGGAGAGAGCUGGAAGAGGAGAAUAAAAAGGAUGAGGAGGAAAAGCAGAAGAAGAAAGAAAUGGAGGAGAAGAAGAAGAAAGAAGAGGAGGAAAAGAGGAAAAAAGAGGCUGAAGAGAAGAAGAAGAAGAAGAAGGAAGAAGAGGACAAGCUCAAAAAGAAAGAGGCGGAAGAGAAGAAGAAGAAAGAGGAGGAGGAGAAGCCGAAGAAAUUUGGAUUCAAGGAAAAGAAUGAACCAGCCAAACUGAACACAGGACUCUUCGAGAAUAAACUUAAGAAAACAGAGAAGACAUCAAAUGUUCCCUCCACCAAGGCAGACGACCUGGAGCGUCAGGAGGCCGAGCGUAAGCUGCAGGAGCUGAAGCGCCGGCGAAACGAUGCAGAGAGCGAGGAUUUGGAGAAGAUGAAGCAGAAGCAGCAGGACGCAGAGGCCGAGCUCGAGGAGCUGAAAAGGAAGAGGGAGGACAGGAGGAAGAUCAUAGAGGAGGAGGAGAAGCAGAAGAAACAGGAGCUGGAGGACAAGAAAGCCAAAGAACAGGAGGAGAGGAAGAGGAUGAAGGAGGAGAUAGAGAAGAGGAGGGCAGAGGCUGCAGAGAAGAAGAAACAGAAAGACGAAGAGUCUCCAAAACCUGUCUUUGCUAUCAGUCCCAAAGGCUCCUCAAAGAUUGGUGCGAAGGCAGAAUUCUUGAGCAAAUCAGCCCAAAAAAGCACCACAGCCAGAGUGUCUCACUCUCCAAUUGUGUCCAAGAUCGGCAACAGAAUGGAGCAGUACAACUCUGCCAUACAGGGAAACAAAGACGUCAAAUCUCCUAAGUCUCCGGUGGCUGAUAUUCCUACAGGAGGAGCUCGCAGCAUAAAGAGCAUGUGGGAGAAAGGAAACGUCGGCGGCUCCUCUGAAAGUCCAGCCCCAGCCAACAAAGAUGUGAUUGGUAUAAAAGGAGGCGUGACCGGACGUGUCAACAGUUGGAUGGCAAAGCCUCCAGAGGCGGAGAAGACAGCAGCACCUGCACCAACAGCAGCAUCACCAGCAGCAGCAGCAGCAGCAAAGCCAGCACUUUCCUCACUUAAACUUCUCCUGCUGUUCUUUGCCUGCUCUUCAAACUGGCGAAGGAAGUGAAACCAGGUGACAUCGGUAACAAGCGUGGCAUGUGGGAAACCAAGAAGAGCUCCACACCUGCAAAGCCGGCAGUUGGAGUCAAGAAUAAGUUUGUCACCAAUGCGGGCGUAAGACCUUAACCAUUUAAAUCAAGUCUCAUCUGACCAAACACAAGGCUAUGCCACUGUAUGUGCAUCCUUCAACAAUCCUGCUUUCCGCAUGAAGCUCACACCAAAGUGAGGAGAAGACAAGGGAGCAGGAUGAGUGAUUCCAGCAUCCAAGACUCCAGAGAUUUUUCCUCAAACGUUUAAAAAUAUGAACGUUUUUUAUCAGACUUGACUUGAUUUUUCCUCAGAAUUUCAAACAUGGCAUAAUUAGUUAUCGUUUUCAGGACAAAGAACCACAUGCUUCUAGUUAAUGUAGUAUCCAUCUGUCUAAUCAACGUUACAUAUUUCAGAUGGCUGAUCUUAUUGUCAUGUUUUGCCAAUAUAGCUUACCCAAAUAAUAAGCAAUUGUGUUUUAUUGUCACUAUUUUGACUCCCUGUGAUAACCAAGGCUGUUUAACGUUCAUCUCACCGCUUGGGUUUGAGUAUACCGAUAUGGAUGUUUGAAGAUUAGCCUGUAUAUAAAAGACUCAUUUGUACUGCAUCUGUAUCGCAACGCAAAUCUUAUCAAGGGUUUAACAGUAGAAGCUAAUGACAUCAUUGAUUAUUAUCAGUGCUGCUGAUAAUAUCAGUUAUGAUAACAGGUUUUUAGGUUGCCAAGCUAUGAUGAUCAACUAAUGUUUUAGCCAUAAGGAUGCAUGUACUCGACAAGUAUUAAAUGGAUUGGGUGUUUCCCUUGGUUGUUUUGUAUCCCCCAACCUUGCAUUUACAGCCAUCACUAGCACAUUUUUUACAAUACUUGAGUUUAUGACCAAAUCCGCUGUACCCUAUUCCUAUGAAAUGCUAAUUAGCAUAUGUUAGCUUGCUAAUGACAGCCUAACACAGCAGCUAGCAAGCUUUGCAGGGCUUUUGGACUACAGUUCAUUUAUCAACAAUGUAUCAACAUUCAAAAGUUUAAAAAAAGAAAUGAGCACCAUUAGUCACACAGUGUAAGAACCCUUUUUUAAAAAGUGCCUUAUUAUUAUUAUUAGAUGGUACAAAUAAACCUCCCACCUCAGACCAGAAGCUAAUAUAGCUGCAGCAAUGAUAACACUGUGUGCUAGCAGUUUGAUGUUACUGUCAGCAACACUUGGGCGUGUUUCCUUUUGUUAUAACUUGUGUUUGUAUAAAAAUCACAGUGAUAUCUAAUACGAGCACGAACAAAGUCUAUGAAUGCGUGUGUAAGAGGAUAUGCACUGUAACAACUAUUCAGUGACCAAAUGCAAUUCUGCAGCUUUGCUUUUCUUACAUGCCACUAACAGUUUAUUUGCAUUGAUUUGCAACAGUGAUAAAGGUUUAUAAGGCAAUAUGCACUCAGUUUUAACAAUGCCUGUCAUGCCUUGAAAUUGUCCCUGGUGUUCCUGUCAGUCAACAGCACAAUCCUACCAAAAUAAAUUGUCAGAGGUGUAUUGCUUCAUCCUAAUGUUUGAAAUAAUUGUUUGUUCUUGCUUCAGCAAUAAAAAAAAAAGAUCAAUAAAAAAGCUU